rnacentral:rRNA from 1 species
GAGAGUUUGAUCCUGGCUCAGGAUGAACGCUAGCUACAGGCUUAACACAUGCAAGUCGAGGGGCAGCAUGGUCUUAGCUUGCUAAGGCCGAUGGCGACCGGCGCACGGGUGAGUAACACGUAUCCAACCUGCCGUCUACUCUUGGACAGCCUUCUGAAAGGAAGAUUAAUACAAGAUGGCAUCAUGAGUCCGCAUGUUCACAUGAUUAAAGGUAUUCCGGUAGACGAUGGGGAUGCGUUCCAUUAGAUAGUAGGCGGGGUAACGGCCCACCUAGUCUUCGAUGGAUAGGGGUUCUGAGAGGAAGGUCCCCCACAUUGGAACUGAGACACGGUCCAAACUCCUACGGGAGGCAGCAGUGAGGAAUAUUGGUCAAUGGGCGAGAGCCUGAACCAGCCAAGUAGCGUGAAGGAUGACUGCCCUAUGGGUUGUAAACUUCUUUUAUAAAGGAAUAAAGUCGGGUAUGGAUACCCGUUUGCAUGUACUUUAUGAAUAAGGAUCGGCUAACUCCGUGCCAGCAGCCGCGGUAAUACGGAGGAUCCGAGCGUUAUCCGGAUUUAUUGGGUUUAAAGGGAGCGUAGAUGGAUGUUUAAGUCAGUUGUGAAAGUUUGCGGCUCAACCGUAAAAUUGCAGUUGAUACUGGAUAUCUUGAGUGCAGUUGAGGCAGGCGGAAUUCGUGGUGUAGCGGUGAAAUGCUUAGAUAUCACGAAGAACUCCAAUUGCGAAGGCAGCCUGCUAAGCUGCAACUGACAUUGAGGCUCGAAAGUGUGGGUAUCAAACAGGAUUAGAUACCCUGGUAGUCCACACGGUAAACGAUGAAUACUCGCUGUUUGCGAUAUACUGCAAGCGGCCAAGCGAAAGCGUUAAGUAUUCCACCUGGGGAGUACGCCGGCAACGGUGAAACUCAAAGGAAUUGACGGGGGCCCGCACAAGCGGAGGAACAUGUGGUUUAAUUCGAUGAUACGCGAGGAACCUUACCCGGGCUUAAAUUGCAGAUGAAUUACGGUGAAAGCCGUAAGCCGCAAGGCAUCUGUGAAGGUGCUGCAUGGUUGUCGUCAGCUCGUGCCGUGAGGUGUCGGCUUAAGUGCCAUAACGAGCGCAACCCUUGUUGUCAGUUACUAACAGGUUCUGCUGAGGACUCUGACAAGACUGCCAUCGUAAGAUGUGAGGAAGGUGGGGAUGACGUCAAAUCAGCACGGCCCUUACGUCCGGGGCUACACACGUGUUACAAUGGGGGGUACAGAGGGCCGCUACCACGCGAGUGGAUGCCAAUCCCAAAAACCUCUCUCAGUUCGGACUGGAGUCUGCAACCCGACUCCACGAAGCUGGAUUCGCUAGUAAUCGCGCAUCAGCCACGGCGCGGUGAAUACGUUCCCGGGCCUUGUACACACCGCCCGUCAAGCCAUGGGAGCCGGGGGUACCUGAAGUGCGUAACCGCGAGGAGCGCCCUAGGGUAAAACUGGUGACUGGGGCUAAGUCGUAACAAGGUAGCCG